rnacentral:rRNA from 1 species
UACGGAGGGAGCUAGCGUUGUUCGGAAUUACUGGGCGUAAAGCGCACGUAGGCGGCUUUGUAAGUUAGAGGUGAAAGCCCGGGGCUCAACUCCGGAACUGCCUUUAAGACUGCAUCGCUUGAAUCCAGGAGAGGUGAGUGGAAUUCCGAGUGUAGAGGUGAAAUUCGUAGAUAUUCGGAAGAACACCAGUGGCGAAGGCGGGUCUCUGGACAGUUCCUGACGCUGAGGCACGAAGGUCAGGGGAGCAAACGGGG